rnacentral:rRNA from 1 species
AACGCUGGCGGCGUGCUUAACACAUGCAAGUCGAACGAACCUUCGGGUUAGUGGCGGACGGGUGAGUAACGCGUGAGAAUCUGCCCUCAGGAGGGGGACAACAGCUGGAAACGGCUGCUAAUACCCCAUAUGCCGCGAGGUGAAAUGAAUUUCGCCUGAGGAUGAGCUCGCGUCUGAUUAGCUAGUUGGUGAGGUAAUGGCUCACCAAGGCAUCGAUCAGUAGCUGGUCUGAGAGGAUGAUCAGCCACACUGGGACUGAGACACGGCCCAGACUCCUACGGGAGGCAGCAGUGGGGAAUUUUCCGCAAUGGGCGAAAGCCUGACGGAGCAACGCCGCGUGAGGGAUGAAGGCCUCUGGGCUGUAAACCUCUUUUAUCAAGGAAGAAGAUCUGACGGUACUUGAUGAAUAAGCC